rnacentral:rRNA from 1 species
GAUGAACGCUAGCUACAGGCUUAACACAUGCAAGUCGAGGGACCGGUGCACGGGUCCGGAACACGUACCCAACCUGCCCUUGACCCGGGGAUAGCCUUUCGAAAGUAAGACAAAUACCCGAAGUAAAGGAUGGGGAUGAGUUCCACUAGGUUGUUGGUGAGGUAACGGCACGACAAGCCUUCGUUGGUUAGGGGUUCGGAGAGGAAGGUACCCCACAUUGGAGCUACGGCACAGUCCAAACUCCUACGGAGGGCAGGAGUAGAGAAUAUUGGUGAAUAGGGGUUAGCCUGGACCAGCCAAGUAGCGUGAAGAGUGAAGGCUUAUGGAUCGUAGACUUCUUUUAUAUAAGAAUAGGUAUUAUCUGAAUAAGGAUCGGCUAACUCCGUGCCAGCAGCCGCGGUAAUUC